UGGGGAAUAUUGCACAAUGGGCGCAAGCCUGAUGCAGCGACGCCGCGUGGGGGAUGACGGCCUUCGGGUUGUAAACUCCUUUUGCUAGGGACGAAGCUUUUUGUGACGGUACCUAGAUAAGAAGCACCGGCUAACUACGUGCCAGCAGCCGCGGUAAUACGUAGUGUGCUAGCGUUGUCCGGAAUUACUGGGCGUAAAGGGCUCGUAGGUGGUUUGUCGCGUCGUCUGUGAAAUUCCGGGGCUUAACUCCGGGCGUGCAGGCGAUACGGGCAUAACUUGAGUACUGUAGGGGUAACUGGAAUUCCUAGUGUAGCGGUGAAAUGCGCAGAUAUCAGGAGGAACACCGAUGGCGAAGGCAGGUUACUGGGCAGUUACUGACGCUGAGGAGCGAAAGCAUGGGUAGCGAACAGG
rnacentral:rRNA from 1 species